rnacentral:rRNA from 1 species
UACGUAGGGUGCGAGCGUUAAUCGGAAUUACUGGGCGUAAAGUGUGCGCAGGCGGCCGAGCAAGUCGAGUGUGAAAGCCCCGGGCUUAACUUGGGAAUUGCGCUCGAAACUACUUGGCUGGAGUGUGGCAGAGGGAGGUGGAAUUCCAGGUGUAGCGGUGAAAUGCGUAGAGAUCUGGAGGAACACCGAUGGCGAAGGCAGCCUUCUGGGCCAACACUGACGCUCAUGCACGAAAGCGUGAGGAGCAAACAGG